rnacentral:rRNA from 1 species
AGUGAACGCUGGCGGUAGGCCUAACACAUGCAAGUCGAACGGCAGCACAGUAAGAGCUUGCUCUUACGGGUGGCGAGUGGCGGACGGGUGAGGAAUACAUCGGAAUCUACUUUUUCGUGGGGGAUAACGUAGGGAAACUUACGCUAAUACCGCAUACGACCUACGGGUGAAAGCAGGGGAUCUUCUGACCUUGCGCGAUUGAAUGAGCCGAUGUCGGAUUAGCUAGUUGGCGGGGUAAAGGCCCACCCAGGCGACGAUCCGUAGCUGGUCUGAGAGGAUGAUCAGCCACACUGGAACUGAGACACGGUCCAGACUCCUACGGGAGGCAGCAGUGGGGAAUAUUGGACAAUGGGCGCAAGCCUGAUCCAGCCAUACCGCGUGGGUGAAGAAGGCCUUCGGGUUGUAAAGCCCUUUUGUUGGGAAAGAAAAGCAGCAGGUUAAUACCCCGCUGUUCUGACGGUACCCAAAGAAUAAGCACCGGCUAACUUCGUG